GAGAUAGCUGGUUUUCUGCGAAAUCUAUUUAAGUAGAGCGUUUAAAGAACUUUUUAGGGGUAGAGCUCUCGAUAAGCAAUGGGGGUUUAACGGUCCUUACUGAGUUUAUUGAAACUUACGAAUACUAAAUUUAAAAGAACUUUAGGUAGAGUAUACUAAGGGGCGCGAGAUAACUCUCUCUAAGGAACUCGGCAAAAUAGACUCCGUAACUUCGGGAGAAGGAGUGCCUUAUUUAUAAGGUUGCAAUAACAAGAUCCAAGCAACUGUUUACCAAAAACACAGGUCUCCGCUAAGUCGUAAGACGAUGUAUGGGGGCUGACGCCUGCCCAGUGCCAGAAGGUUAAAGAAGUUGGUUAGCAUUCGCGAAGCUGAUAACUGAAGCCCUGGUGAACGGCGGCCGUAACCAUAACGGUCCUAAGGUAGCGAAAUUCCUUGUCGGGUAAGUUCCGACCCGCACGAAAGGCGUAAUGAUUUGGAUACUGUCUCGGAGAGGGGCUCGGUGAAAUAGACUUGUCUGUGAAGAUGCGGACUACCUGCACCUGGACAGAAAGACCCUAUGAAGCUUUACUGUAACUUGAAAUUGAAAUUGGACUUUAUUUGCGCAGUAUAGGUGGGAGGCGUUGAGUUAAUUCUUGCGGGAAUUUAGGAGCCAUCAGUGAGAUACCACUCUGGUAAUGUUAGAUUUCUAACUUUGUAUCAUAAUCUGGUCAAAGAACAGUUUCAGGCGGGCAGUUUGACUGGGGCGGUCGCCUCCCAAAUGGUAACGGAGGCGUACAAAGGUUUCCUCUGAACGUGUAGAAAUCGUAUCUAGAGUGUAAAGGCAUAAGGAAGCUUGACUGUGAGACUUACAAGUCGAGCAGGGACGAAAGUCGGUCUUAGUGAUCUGACGGUGCUGAGUGGAAAGGCCGUCACUCAACGGAUAAAAGUUACUCUAGGGAUAACAGGCUGAUCUCCCCCAAGAGUUCACAUCGACGGGGAGGUUUGGCACCUCGAUGUCGGCUCAUCGCAUCCUGGGGCGGUAGUACGUCCCAAGGGUUGGGCUGUUCGCCCAUGAAAGCGGUACGCGAGCUGGGUUCAGAACGUCGUGAGACAGUUCGGUCCAUAUCCGGUGUAGGCGUUAGAAUAUUGAGAGGAGCCUUCUUUAGUACGAGAGGACCGAGAAGGACAUACCUCUGGUGUACCAGUUAUCAUGCCAAUGGUAAACGCUGGGUAGCUAUGUAUGGAGAGGAUAACCGCUGAAAGCAUCUAAGUGGGAAGCCCACCUCAAGAUAAGUAUUCUCACCUCUUACGUCCUUUCCUUCGAGUCGGAACUUACCACCGAUUUAGAGUUAAUCUUUAAGAUUUAACAGUUGACUU
rnacentral:rRNA from 1 species